rnacentral:rRNA from 1 species
UACAGAGAGUGCUAGCGUUGUUCGGAAUUACUGGGCGUAAAGGGCGUGUAGGCGGUUGCGUAAGUCGGAUGUGAAAGCCCUCGGCCCAACCGGGGAAGUGCAUCCGAAACUGCGCGGCUUGAGUGCGGGAUGGGGGAGCGGAACUCCCAGUGUAGAGGUGAAAUUCGUAGAGAUUGGGAGGAACACCAGUGGCGAAGGCGGCUCCCUGGACCGCAACUGACGCUGAUACGCGAAAGCGUGGGUAGCAAACAGG